AAAAAGGGCGCUCGUCUUUGGCAUGUUCCGACUAUAGGAACUUAAGUGCAGACGCAUUGCGCCGUUGGCUCAUCCCUACGCUCCUCGUUGGGCGGGGGCGUUGCGCUAAAUUGCCGCCUUCGAUGGGUCCUAACGCGCCCAGUGGGGUAUGGCUUUGCAUAUCCAGUGCGUUAUUUUUGUAUUCGGGGCUGGCGGCUGCACAAUCUAUGGCUGAAGCUGGAUUGCAGAUUCGUCUGCGUGCCAAAUUUAAGUCCGUGCGCUGUGCCCCA